rnacentral:rRNA from 1 species
CCUACGGGUGGCAGCAGUAGGGAAUCUUCCACAAUGGGCGCAAGCCUGAUGGAGCAACACCGCGUGAGUGAAGAAGGCUUUCGGGUUGUAAACUUCUUUUCUCAGGGACGAAGCAAGUGACGGUACCUGAGGAAUAAGCCACGGCUAACUACGUGCAAGCAGCCGCGGUAAUACGUAGGUGGCAAGCGUUAUACGGAUUUACUGGGUUUAAAGGGCGUGUAGGCGGGACUGCAAGUCAGAUGUGAAAACCAUGGGCUCAACCUAUGGCCUGCAUUUGAAACUGUAGUUCUUGAGUACUGGAGAGGCAGACGGAAUUCCUAGUGUAGCGGUGAAAUGCGUAGAUAUUAGGAGGAACACCAGUGGCGAAGGCGGUCUGCUGGACAGCAACUGACGCUGAGGCGCGAAAGCGUGGGGAGCAAACAGGAUUAGAUACCCUUGUAGUC